rnacentral:misc_RNA from 1 species
UUUCCGUAGGUGAACCUGCGGAAGGAUUAUUAUUGUAUAACCGAGGUGCGAGGGCUGUCGCUGACCCGAAAGGUCGUGCACGCCCGAGUGCCCUCACACACAUCCACCUCACCCCUAUGUGCACCACCGCGUGGGUCCCCCUUUGGCUUGUUCGGAGGGGGGCUUACGUUUUCACACAAACUUUGUAUGCAGUGUAGAAUGUAUUUUUUGUUUUUGCGAUCACGCAAUCAAUACAACUUUCAACAACGGAUCUCUUGGCUCUC